AACGAACGCUGGCGGCAUGCCUAACACAUGCAAGUCGAACGAGACCUUCGGGUCUAGUGGCGCACGGGUGCGUAACGCGUGGGAACCUUCCCUUAGGUUCGGAAUAACUCCCCGAAAUGGGUGCUAAUACCGGUUAAUGUCUUCUGACCAAAGAUUUAUCGCCUUUUUAUGGGCCCGCGUUGGAUUAUCUAUUUGGUAGGGUAAAAGCAUACCAAGGAGACAAUCCAUAGAUGGUCUGAGAGGAUGAUAAGCCACACUGGGAAUGAGAAACGGCACAGACUAGUACGGGAGGGAGGAGAGGGGAAUAUAGGAAAAGGGGGGAAAGCAUGAAAAAGCAAUGACGGGAGAGUGAUGAAGGCAUUAGGGAAGAAAAGCACUUUUAAAAGGGAUGAUAAUGACAGUACCGGGAGAAUAAGCACCGGCUAACUACGUG
rnacentral:rRNA from 1 species